AAUGAGUGAUGACAAGAUGUUUCGGCUCCAGAUGACACCAACUGAUUUUACCGUUACAUUUCUUGCUGACAUU